rnacentral:misc_RNA from 1 species
AUAAUGACUUUUUCUUGGUUCCCGUCAGUAUCUCAGAUCACCAGGGGCCUCUUACAUCUAGUUUCCCAGUGGAGAACAGGAUAAGUACCGUAACACUGAGGGCGCUGAAGGAGCAUCUUGAUAGGACGAAACACCUUCCGUUUGUGAAACGCAUAUCUGAUUUCCACCUACUGCUACAACUGGCUCAUUUUCUAGAUGUAAA